rnacentral:rRNA from 1 species
UACGUAGGAGGCGAGCGUUGUCCGGAUUCACUGGGCGUAAAGGGCGCGUAGGCGGCGGCUUGAGUCCCUGCGUGAAAUCUCCCGGCUCAACCGGGAGGGUGCGCGGGAUACUGUGAGGCUAGAGUACGGAAGAGGAAAGUGGAAUUCCUGGUGUAGCGGUGAAAUGCGCAGAUAUCAGGAGGAACACCGGUGGCGAAGGCGGGUCUCUGGGCCGUAACUGACGCUGAGGAGCGAAAGCGUGGGGAGCGAACAGG